CCUGUUAUUUCAGAUUAGAUCAACUCUUGUUUAACAUAAGGAACCUUGGACACUUAUUUUUAGACAUAAAAUAACAUAAAACAAGAACAUCACGCCGACUUACAGAAUACUGUAACUUUUAAUUUUACUGAAUGUAUUUUAACUUGUGGCUACGUCAUCUGGGCUACUGUAAUCCACCUCUGUGGAUAGCUACAGAGGCUAAAGUAGAAAUAACUCAGCCGUUAGGUUUUAUGGAGGUUUGAGGUUGUGUUUUUCACAGUGGAAACACACUUUUAAUAUUAGCCAGUGAAUGAUCCGCCAUCUUCCCAGAUAACAGCUAUUUGAAUUUUGAGCGUGGCGUAAUGGCCGUGAGCAACUUGUGAUCUGAGGCAAAGCUCCAGAUCUCUCUCUCGCUGUUUUUUAAUGUACACUUAAAAAUUGAGCAUUGUAAUUAUUCUAUUAUUAAUAACCAUUUUAUUUCAUUUUUAGGGCAAGGAGAACACUGGUGUCAUCAAACGGCCUGAAAAAGUAAUGAUAUGGUUGUGUAAGAAUUGCAGCUUUAGAACAUCAACACGUUUACAACUCUUAAAGCAUUAUAGGUUGAAACAUUUACCCACUGGUCGGGCACUGCCAUGCUUGUACUCAGAUUGUCCUUGUUCUUUCAAAAGUUGGGGUGCACUUCGCACACAUAUAUCAAGGGAUCACGUACAGACUGAACAAUUAGGGCAAAGUGUUUCAUUUUGUUGUCUUCUCUGUAAUUCACCUAAUUUUGACACAGAGGCGCAAUAUUUUGAACACCUGGGAGUUCAUCUGAAAAAACACGAAACUGUUGUGUUUUUAAAGACUGUAAUUACAGUACAAAUAUAUAUUCAACCUUUGCAUCACAUAAAAGUAGGAAGCACAAUCCUCACUGCCUUGAAGAUUUUAACCACACCGUAUUUCAGAGAUACUCAAUUCGGACAACAGAAGAUAGUUGUCAGUUGGUUGAUGAAAGUGACAUUUCAUCUGAUGAAACACUUGUCAAUGAGGGUGAAGAUUUAGGUAAAGUAAUUGUUAAUCAUCUUGCUUCAUUGUUACUUAAAUUAAACUGCAUCUUCAAUGUUCCAAAUAGAUGUAUAGAUGAGAUUGUAGAGGAGCUCCAAUUCAUUAGUUGUUCAGCAUCUACACCUGUUAUAAAAAAUAUUGUAACACAUUAAAAAACCAUAACUGCACUGUUGAUGGCUUGGUCAUCAAAGAUUUGGUAAAUAGCAUUUGCCAGUCAAAUCCUCUUGGCUCAGGCUUAAGUAAAAAAGGUCCUCUUGGUACAGCAUUCCAAACUUCACUGCCUACCCAACUGGUCUUCAAAUACUGGCAGUUGUAGAGGCUUUAAUUCGAAAGCAUCUUUGUCUCAGGGAACCUACAUCAUUUUCAGGCAUGUAUGGAUGGCAGCAGCGUCUUAAAUACAAGAUGGCUAAUUACCGUACAAAAAUGAAAAGACGUGAUAUACCUUGUCCUGAGCUCGACAUCAACUCCUUGAAAAGGAAAUCCCCUGGUGAGAAAAAUCCUGCAAAAAAUUGCAAGAGACCAAAGAGGGCAGAGGUCAACUACCUACCUCCAGAUCCACCUGGAGAAACUAGCGACAGUCUCGAGAUUGAGAGACGGGAGCUUCUUCUUGAGGUUAAAAAGAAGAACAACACAAAGUUGAUUCAGGAAAAGAUGGCCAAAACGUUCUCCUGUCAAAGGCUUGAGGUUGUGAGUGGUAGUCCAGCCGUUGCUGAUUUUAAAGAAAGAUGGCCUGCUUUGUUUUGCGAAGCUGAGGUAGGUGAAGCUAUUGCAACAAAACAUACAGAAAAUGCAUUGGUUUUCCAUUGUUGCUAUUAAACACGGGUGUGCUUGUGAAUCUUGUCAUUUCAGAUUAAGGAAGAAUUCAGGAGAAUUACGGAAAUCUCUUUGGAACAUACCUUCAUGUCCAAACUGGACUACUAUACACCUAAACUGAUUGCCUUGAUGAAAAUUAAGGGAGGUGUCCUGGGGACCAAGCUGAGGCCAUUACUUGACAAACUAAGUCAGAACCAAGGCAUUGAGAUGAGACGUGAAACUACUCCGUGGCCUCAUAGUCUACCUUGGAGAGAAAGAAGAGGAACCAUUUGAAGAUUGCCUGGAGGACAACCGCAGUGAUGCCACUCAGCACAUCCUAAAGAUUCUGGUUGUCCAUGGGCCGGAUGGAGAAGAUCCAGUGGAUGUAUCUAUCCUUCUUGAAGGCCAGGAGAUGUUGCCAGGAUGCGGCAAUGGUGCCAAAGCUUGUGCACUGCUAAUGGGACUGAUUUAUGCCCUCAACCUUGCAUACCCCUCACCACUGCGCUACACCUGUGAGGUCUUUCAGAAACUUUUCUUGGAACUGGAUGGGAUUAAGUUAUCCCCAAAAGUGCAAGCUUUAAAGUUGAAAUUGUUGUCUUAAAUUUUGUAGCCAAAGAAACGGUAUAUAACAGGGGUGGGCAAUGAGGGCUGAGACACUGCAGGUUUUCCUUGCAACCAAUCACCUCAGCAGGUGGGUUG